CGACGUGUAGCUCAGUCAGCAGAGCACCGGGCUUUCGACCCGGAGGGCGCGGGGGCAGGGCCCGCUACGUCGA
rnacentral:tRNA from 1 species